GAACGAAGAGGUUCUAAAAACCAUCUUACAGUCUUUUCAAGAGGCUGGUCAACAAAUGAAAAAGACACUCGAAGAAAAUGUGUCUUCUCUAAAGAAGGUUUUAAAAAAUUAAACCUCUCAUAGACGUGCGAUUGCAGUAUUCAGGAAGUUCGACAAGGCUUUAGAAAAAUUACCAUCAUAUGUCCAGCAAAUGAGAAAACACUUCGUGGCGAAUAAUGUUACCAAAGAUGACGUUAAGCGUGCUUGUUUUCUUGUGUAGAUUUCCACAGGAACUUUUGAGCUUCUCCAAAAAAUUUGCAACGGCAAAGUUCAUGAGAUUUCAUUUGAGGAAAUGAUGAGCAUGUUAAAUGAACAUUAUGUCCAAAAGAAGGUUGUGGCGAAUCCCAAGUGGACACAAACAUAAGAGACGGUGAUAAGACACAACAUGAUAAAGUGAGAAGCGCUGCGCUGCAGAAAGCUAACCCUACUUUGGAGGAAGUUUUGCCAAUAGCUUCAAUUUAUGAAUCACCGUCAAAAACAUGUCAAGAGUUGAAAGGGGAGGAAAGGAGCACGGAAGUCAAUUCUAUUUAGAAAUCAAGAAAAUACUUUCGUCGGUUCAGGGAGACCUAGUGGUAAAUUUGAAAAGAAAAGGGAAUAUAUUGAUAAAACAUGCCCUGGAUGAGAUAAAGGUCAUAGUCGAAAAAAUUGUUACUAUUAAAAGAACAAAUCAAAGUGCCGUAUAUGUUUCAAAUCGGGCUACAUAGCUGCAGUGUGCCAAAAUGGGAAUGAAACGAAAAACGGAGGCGAGGUUAAAGAAAGAGUUAAUGAGGUGAGCGAGCAUGAAGGUUUAAAUAAAUUUGAGGCUAUCGGUUCUGUGGAUGCGGUGGAAACAAAGGGAGAGAGUGAUGAGAUUCAAAAAGAGCGUGAGUACAAAAAAGGUGUAUAUGUGUUGGAUACAGGCGCGGAAUCCACGUUAAUUGGGCUUGUUACCUACAAAAGUUUAGGUCAAAGUGUGAAACGACUGAUAGUAUAUUGAGAGCGUACGGUGGUGGCCGCGUAAAUAUUAAAGGUAGAAUAAAAGUAGUUUACGGUGGAAUAUUAUGGUAAAACAACUGCCUGCGUUGGUAGUGGAUUGUAAAACUUCACAAAAUAUGUUGGGUUGUGACUGGCUGGAAAAGCUGGCAAUUGAAAUUAAAUUUUCGAAAUCAAAUGUUUUAAUAAAUAACAACAAUUUGGUAUGUAAUACAA